AUGGAGUGCAACCCGGAGAUUUUAUGUUGGAACGUCCGCGGGUUAAAUAAUCCCGCGAAGAGAAAGGCGGUUAGGGAGUUCUUGGCCUUGGUCAAGGUCAAUGUAGCGUGUCUCCAGGAGACCAAACUGGAUGUUGUCGAUCCUUUCGUGGCUAUGCAAUGUUUAGGCCUGUCUCUGGACGGUUUUUCUUACUUACCUGCUGUGGAGACCCGUGGUGGUGUGAUCCUCGCUUGGGACACCACGGUGAUUACCUUGGAUCAGAUUCAGCUAGACACUAACUUCCUAACUGGACGAGUCCAUAACAAGGAUGUCACGGAGUGGUGGAUUUCCGUUGUAUAUGCGCCGCAAGGGGACGACUUCAAAACCCAGUUCCUCCAUGACCUAAGCGCUAGGCGCGCCAUUUUCCCGGGGCCAUGGAUGAUUCUAGGGGAUUUCAAUAUGAUCGUUCACGCGAUGGAGAAGAACAACACUAACAUCAACAGGGCAAUGAUGGCAAAGUUCAGAGCUUUUGUGGACGAACAUGAACUUAAGGAGCUAUACAUGCACGGUCGGACGUUCACCUGGUCCAAUGAGAGGGGCAUUCCGACACUCACCAAAAUCGACAGGGUGUUAGUUUCGGUUGAAUGGGAGUUGGCGCACCCGGAGAACUUGCUACAGGCGCUCUCCUCAGGAGUUUCAGACCAUGCACCUCUGCACUUAUCCACUAAUGCCUACUUCCAUUAG
rnacentral:rRNA from 1 species